rnacentral:rRNA from 1 species
AUUGAACGCUGGCGGCAGGCUUAACACAUGCAAGUCGAGCGGGGUGAUGGUGCUUGCACUAUCACUUAGCGGCGGACGGGUGAGUAAUGCUUAGGAAUCUGCCUAUUAGUGGGGGACAACAUCUCGAAAGGGAUGCUAAUACCGCAUACGUCCUACGGGAGAAAGCAGGGGAUCACUUGUGACCUUGCGCUAAUAGAUGAGCCUAAGUCGGAUUAGCUAGUUGGUGGGGUAAAGGCCUACCAAGGCGACGAUCUGUAGCGGGUCUGAGAGGAUGAUCCGCCACACUGGGACUGAGACACGGCCCAGACUCCUACGGGAGGCAGCAGUGGGGAAUAUUGGACAAUGGGGGGAACCCUGAUCCAGCCAUGCCGCGUGUGUGAAGAAGGCCUUAUGGUUGUAAAGCACUUUCAAUUGGAAGGAAAACCUCGAAGCUAAUACCUUCGAGUUUGACAUUACCUUUAGAAGAAGCACCGGCUAACUCCGUGCCAGCAGCCGCGGUAA